ensembl:lncRNA LINP1 lncRNA in non-homologous end joining pathway 1
GGCGGAAGAGGCCACACUAGCGAGAAAGUGAUUAUGAGAAACAUGCAGAAAACAAGAGCACAUCCUCAUAGUCACAUAGAAAAUGAGGUGAGGGGAAGAAAUCUUCAUGAAACCGUCUCAAGGUAUAUUUAAACGUGGCUCCCUGCAGGCCACCCAUUCUUUGUCCCAGUUAAUUCAUAUACGAGAGAGGUUUUACUUCAGAGAGAUUGCCAAUGGAAAAAAUGUGAACGAAACACCCGCAUGGAUGGCCCACGGUGAGGCGUCUCUGAUCGCUAUCAAACAGGGAGGGGCAGAAAUCCUUGCACUAAAAAGUGUGGGCUGCUUUACCACAAAUAAGAUCAGGGACUGGGCAUGAGGCAGUAUUGGUCACAGCCCCGUUGGUGCUGGAGAGAGGUUCGCUGGCCUUGGGAGCUUCACUCAUGACCGGUGAGCUGUGUGCCCAGAGACGACGCCGAGGUCCUCAUGUCUUAUUUCCGCAGCAUCCAGUUAUUCAGAGGGCGUGUGUGCAGAAUGAGAAGGAGGUGGCGCACCGGCUACAAGGCUAGACCGGGGGCUCGCAUAUCUCCACUUGCAGCUGCCACUGCCAUUAGAAGAACUUGCUCAGCCAGCUCCUGGGCCCCAGGAAAAGGACAAGUGUCACCCAGAACAGAGCCACCUCCAGCUGCACUCAGCUCCAGAAGCUGGCCCAGCCGGUCCAGUACACCUUUUAAAUAAUGUCCUCUACGUGCCGGUGUGGAAGUAGCCCGGAUGCAAUUGAAUGAACAACAGACGGUGCUUUCCAGGACGGCGCUGUGCUUUCCAGGAUGGUGCUGUGCUUUCAUUCAUUUGGGUAGCUCCUCUGUGAGCCUCCCAGCGCCGACUGCAGAGCCCCCACUCUCCAGCCUGCAAGACCCCGAAAUUCAAGCCACACAAAGAAAGGAGGAGGGGGCCGUUGGCAUUUACUGAACCUUAUAAAACUGUCAGCAAAACAGCCCUUAGGCUUGGACUCCCUGCUAGCCGGGUUUUACGGUGCUGAAGUCAGCAUCUUGAUUCAGCUGCAUAAAUAAUCUCCUGCAGUCCUGCAAGGCCUGGGGUAGGAGAGGGUAUGGGGACCAGGGCACUCUGUAAGGGCUGGGAUAGGAACCCCAGGGAAUAAGACAGACCAACUGCGGGACUUCAGACUCCACUGCAGCCGGGAUCGGGUUGUUGUUAAUUUCUUAAGCAAUUUCUAAAUUCUGUAUUGACUCUCUCAUGCAUGUAACUGAUCCUUAGAUAUUGUCAGCCAAAUGACUAAAGGAUUUAGAAAUCUGA